GUGAGUAGUUCAGAGUUUGAUCCUGGCUCAGGACGAACGCUGGCGGCGUGCCUAACACAUGCAAGUCGAACGAAGCAUUUGAUUGGAUCUCUUCGGAGUGAAGCUCUUGUGACUUAGUGGCGGACGGGUGAGUAACGCGUGAGUAACCUGCCUUUCAGAGGGGGAUAACAGUUGGAAACGACUGCUAAUACCGCAUAACGUAUCGGAACCGCAUGAUUCUGAUACCAAAGCUGAGGCGCUGAAAGAUGGACUCGCGUCUGAUUAGAUAGUUGGUGAGGUAACGGCUCACCAAGUCGACGAUCAGUAGCCGGACUGAGAGGUUGAACGGCCACAUUGGGACUGAGACACGGCCCAG
rnacentral:rRNA from 1 species